rnacentral:rRNA from 1 species
UACAGAGGUCUCGAGCGUUAGGCGGAAUCACUGGGCUUAAAGCGUGUGUAGGCGGACUGGUAAGUACCUUGUGAAAUCCCACGGCUCAACCGUGGAACUGCUUGGUAUACUGCUUGUCUUGUGCAACCUAGGGGCGAGCGGAACAGAUGGUGGAGCGGUGAAAUGCGUAGAUAUCAUCUGGAACGCCAAUGGCGAAGGCAGCUCGCUGGGACGGUACUGACGCUGAGACGCGAAAGCGUGGGGAGCAAACAGG